rnacentral:rRNA from 1 species
AUUGAACGCUGGCGGCAUGCCUUACACAUGCAAGUCGAACGGUAACGCGGGGCAACCUGGCGACGAGUGGCGAACGGGUGAGUAAUAUAUCGGAACGUGCCCAGUAGUGGGGGAUAGCCCGGCGAAAGCCGGAUUAAUACCGCAUACGACCUACGGGUGAAAGCGGGGGAUCGCAAGACCUCGCGCUAUUGGAGCGGCCGAUAUCAGAUUAGGUAGUUGGUGGGGUAAAGGCCUACCAAGCCUACGAUCUGUAGCUGGUCUGAGAGGACGACCAGCCACACUGGGGCUGAGACACGGCCCAGACUCCUACGGGAGGCAGCAGUGGGGAAUUUUGGACAAUGGGCGCAAGCCUGAUCCAGCCAUGCCGCGUGCGGGAAGAAGGUCUUCGGGUUGUAAACCGCUUUUGUCAGGGAGAAACGCUCUGGGCUAAUAUCCCUUGCUAAUGACGGUACCUGAAGAAUAAGCACCGGCUAACUACGUGCCAGCAGCCGCGGUAAU